CAAGGUCCCCAAGGGGACCUGCUUCCUCCAUCUCAAACCGCCCUGGCGUCCCCCGGGUGCCUCCCAGGCCCCCAGAGGGAGCUCAGAAAGCCCAGACCCCACGGCCCGCCCCUCUCCCUGCUCUGAGCUGGAGGCAGAGUCCGGGUCUGCGGGGCCGGCCCUCCCUGUAUCCCUGUGAGAGGGUCGGGGACCCGGGGCGUCUGUCUGGCUUCCCCCAGCCCUGCUCUCAGCUCCCUGGGAGCGCAGGAUUUGGACUCGCGGACUAGCUUUCGGAGCCACCUAAAGGAAAUCUCAGGCGGCCCUAGUGCCCUCAGCUCCGUGGGAGCAGCAGAGACGCCAGAGUAUCUCUGUCCGGGCUCCUGAGGGAGGUGCGGCCAGCAGGGCGCUAGAGGAGGAAGAGGGGCUGCUGGAGAGAGAGAGCGCGCCAGGUUCAGGUCCAGGGAGGAGAGAGAGCGAGCGCGCGAGGCGGAGACCUGGAGGGAGAGGAAGGGAGAGAGAGAACCAGGUUCAGGUCCAGGGAGGAGAGAGACAGCGCGCGCGAGGCGGAGACCUGGAGGAGAGGAGCUGCGGAGAGGGGUUAGGCGGGGAGAGAGAGAGAGCGAGCCAGGUUCAGGUCCAGGGAGGAGAGAGACAGCG
rnacentral:lncRNA from 1 species